rnacentral:misc_RNA from 1 species
UUUCCGUAGGUGAACCUGCGGAAGGAUCAUUAUUGUAUAAUGGAUGUGGGAGGGCUGUCGCUGAUAUGAAAGGUCGUGCACGCGUGAGUGCUCUCACAUACAUCAAUGUCACCCCUAUGUGCACCACCGCGUGGGUCUCCCUUUGACUUGUUAUGAGGGGGGCUUACGAUUUCAACUAACCACUAUGUACAGUGUAGAAUUUGCUUUUUGUUUUAGCGAUGCAGUAAGCAAUACAACUUUUAACAACGCAACUCUUGGCUAUCGAAUCGAUGAAGAACG